UGCCUGAACCAGCCAAGUCGCGUGAGGGAAGACGGCCCUACGGGUUGUAAACCUCUUUUGUCAGGGAGCAAGAACAGGCACGUGUGCCUGACUGAGAGUACCUGAAGAAAAAGCAUCGGCUAACUCCGUGCC
rnacentral:rRNA from 1 species